rnacentral:lncRNA from 10 species
AACUCCACCUCCCGGGUUGACGCCAUUCUCCUGCCUCAGCCUCCCGAGUAGCUGGGACUCCAGGCGCCUGCCACCACGCCAGGCUAAUUUUUUGUAUUUUUAGUAGAGACGAGGUUUCACCGUAUUAGCCAGGAUGGUCUCGAUCUCCUGACCUCGUGAUCCACCCGCCUCGGCCUCCCAAAGUGCUGGGAUUACAGGCGUGAGCCACCGCGCCCAGCCAGCUAAGGACAUUCUUAAUGGUGAUACAUUCACAUCACUGCCUUUAAAAUCAGGAGAGCGGCA